UUGCAUAUUAGAAAUGCAGUAUAGCUAGGGAAUGACCCCUAGGUCGUCUCUCAAGGAACAAUUUUGCGGUUCGAGAAUCGAGUCUAACACGAAAAGGGGGGGUUGAAAGUGUGUUGCAAAAUUUAACGAUAUCAAUAUAAAGACACAGAUGCAAACAAUCCAAUUUGAGCUAGCAUGGUAAUUAAACUAACACCAUUAAAAACCUUAGACAACAUUUAAAUAUCAAACAUUGUUAUCAAUUAAUUAGCAAACACAGUUAAAAAUAAUUAAAUGCAAAACUAACUUAAACACAUGAAGACAACUCAACCUACUAAUUAAACUAAGUGAAAACAAGAGAAAUUAACAAGCCUAUUUUACUUCUAGUAAAUUAAGUGACCCAAUAUGAAAUUAAAAAAUAAAUUAAAAGUCCAAAUGGCCUAAGGAAACCUCUUGGCCGUGAGUCAUGUUUCAACAAGUCAAACUUCAAUUUCCACCUUCAAUAAGCCACCAAAAUGUGUUGACUUCUUGUCCCAUGUGCACCAUUCUUCAAGGAAAUAAGCAUGUGCCUUAAACACACAAUAAAACCAUGUUUUCCUCCCUUCCCAUGCAGCAAAAACGUGAUUGUACACACCAAGGCACAAAAAAAGCGAACUACCAAGUGGAAAUGCCAAAAACUGCUUCAAACCAAAGGUUAAAUGUAAGAUACUUUGGGUGCUCCAACCAAGAUGCCAUGUAAGCAAAGUCAAAGGAAAUUAAACACCAAAAACCUCCAUUCUCAAGAGUGAUUCUCGGCAGCAACAAGGAGAAGACAAAAACCAAAAAAGGAAAUCUUCUUUCUAUGAAAAUUGUCUCAUAUUGUGCUUGUCCAAAAAAAAAUUAAAUGCACCCUUUUCUCUCACUUCCAAUCUCAAUUUCGGUUUUCUUUCCUCUCAACCACCACCCAAAGCUUUCUUCUCUUCACAUUACCAAGAAUGAACCCCAAGAAACCAAAGUUUAAGUUGCAAAUGAGCACAAGAACAAUAAACCCCAAACUUCUACUCAUCAACCCAACUUUAACACUACCAUUUCUUCAAGUUUCUUUGCAAAAACGAAAAUAAUAUCUUAGCCAUUCAACUCAAGCAAUGUCCAGCCCCAAUAACAUCAUCAAACUCUGGUUUCAAACAUCAAAACCGAAAUAUGGAAGAAAAGAGCCAAACCCACAACACCCACACAACACCUUAAGCUCUCUUUAACCCAAAACUCACAUAGAACCUCAUUUUCAUCAACCAACCAACCAUAAUGCAAAGAAAAACGUGAGGAACAGCAGUAAAGGAGAGGAAAAACAAAACUAUAAAGUCACUCAAACCCAAGAAUCACCAUUGAAAUGCAAAGAAAAGCUUAAAAGCUCAAGCUUCAAACAUCAAAAACAAGCAAAUGGAAGAAGGAAUGAAAGGAUUUUCACCACCAAUGAGUUAAGACAGCCAAGAUUAAAGCAAGAGAAGAAUAAAAUCUGCAACUUUGUUCAUUCAAAUAGCCAAAACCGAAAAUCCCAUGGCAAGCUCCAAGAGAGAGUCUUCAUACAUGACAACCUAGAAGAAAUGAAGCAAAAACCGUGAGCUAUGGAAGUGUUGGUGUGUGGCUCGGUUUUCCCACCCCAUUUGACCAAGAGUUUUUAAUUUUGGUGGGUUCCACACACUACAAGUCAGCCCUAAAGGGAUGCAACAUGGCCC
rnacentral:lncRNA from 1 species